rnacentral:misc_RNA from 1 species
AACAAGGCGUACCUGCGGACCUGCGGAGGGAUCAUUACGAGAGUGUCACCACUCCCAACCCAUUGUUUACCUACCCGUCCACCGUGCUUCGGCAGGCAGCCCUGUGGGACAGAGCCUCGCCCCCUUUCGCGGGGGGUGCCUGCCGCUUGCCAACCAAAACUCUAGCUGUUUUAGUACCAUCUGAGUCUUCCACAAAUGAACAAAACUUUCAACAAUGGAUCUCAGAUCGGAAGAGCACAC